UUUUUCUAUAUUACCCCUUUACAGCUAACCAAAGGACAAAAUUCAACAUUUUUUUAAUAAUUAUUGAUCUAGAGAGUCCACAGAAUAUUACUGCAGUGGUUUGGUUCCGAUCGGGCAAAAAACCUAGGACUAGUUCGCAAAAGUAGGUUUUUAACAUAUUUGUGAAUAACAAUUGAACGAUUUGAUUGACAGCAAUGGUUCUUGAGGCAAAGUUGUGCAUUACGAGGAGAUCUAUCAAAUGAUAUGCAUAUUGUGUUGAUAUGUGAAACACCACGUGAUUACAGAGCCAAUAAACUCGUUAGCGCCAACUAGUGGCCGAGUUCUUUCAAAAUUCUUACAGACCUUAAGGUUCAUGAGUCGAACGUACCCAGCGAGUUUCGUUCCGAUCAACAUCCGUUAACCCUUUCAAAUAGGUGCUUAAAUUUGUUUGGCCAAUGGCGGCCAUGUUUUUUGAGAUAUGCAAAUGUCCUCAUAGGUACUUGUGCCCCUUCAGACCAAGACACUGCAUACCGAUUUUCAAGUCGAUCGAGCCAACGGUUGCCUAGUUAUAGCAAUUUAUGUGUUUUUUCUAUCUUAUAGCGCCCCCAAGUGGCAGAGAUGCGCAAUUUUUUUGAUUUGACCAAAGAUUGAGCUCAUACAUAUGUGUACCGAGUUUGGUGAAGAUAUCUCAUUCCGUUCAAGAGUUAUAGUCAAAAUAGCAUUUGGCUAACGUUAGCAUAGAUGCUUUUUGGCGUACUGUUUCGCGUAAGAAUUGAAAUUUCAACUUUUUUUUGAUAAUUAUUGAUAUUGAGUGUCCAGUGAAUAUUUAUGAAGUGGUUUGGUUCUGAUUGGUUGAAAAUCCUAGGACUAGUUCGCAAAAGUAGGUUUCGGAUAUAGCUCGAUUUUGCGAGAAAACGGUGCGUCGUAGACCCCAAAAAGGCGCCGUGCACUUUUGUUCGGGCUAACCCAAGGAUUGCAACAAUGCCAUGUUUUUGAGUCUACGGCUAACGGUUUACGAUUCACGGCCAAAAAUGUCCAAAAUUUUUGCUUUUUGCGCUGUAGCGCCCCCGUUAGGCCGAUUGGGCUGAGACUUUGAUAAGUUCUCCCCAAAUUGA